rnacentral:rRNA from 1 species
CAAUAGCGUAUAUUUAAGUUGUUGCAGUUAAAAAGCUCGUAGUUGGAUUUCGGGUGUGAACGACCGGUCCGUCUUUGAUGUGUACUGGUUGGUUGCGCCUUAUUGUCGAGGACGUGGUUCUAGCUUUCAUUAGCCGGGGCACGGAGUCGGCAGCGUUACUUUGAGAAAAUUAGAGUGUUCAAAGCAGGCUAUCGCUCUGAAUACUACAGCAUGGAAUAACACGAUAGGACUCCGAGCCUAUUCUGUUGGUCUUCGGGACCGGAGUAAUGAUUAAGAGGGACAGUUGGGGGCAUUCGUAUUCCGAUGUCAGAGGUGAAAUUCUUGGAUUAUCGGAAGACGAACAUCUGCGAAAGCAUUUGCCAAGGAUGUUUUCAUUAA